UUCCGGUUGAUCCUGCCGGAGCAUUGCUAUUGGGAUCCGAUUUAGCCAUGCUAGUYGCACGAGUUCAGGCUCGUGGCGAAUAGCUCAGUAACACGUGGCCAAACUACCCUUYGGAACACAAUACCCUCGGGAAACUGAGGCUAAUAGUGUAUACCAUACCACCACUAGAAUGAGUGGUAUGCCAAACGCUCCGGCGCCGAAGAUGUGGCUGCGGCCGAUUAGGUAGACGGUGGGGUAACGGCCCACCGUGCCAAUAAUCGGUACGGGUCAUGAGAGUGAGAACCCGGAGACGGAAUCUGAGACAAGAUUCCGGGCCCUACGGGGCGCAGAGGCGCGAAACCUUUACACUGCACGACAGUGGAUAGGKGGAUCCCAAGUGCACAGGCAUAGCGCCUGUGCUUUUCGGUACCGUAAGUGGUACCAGAAUAAGGGCUGGGCAAGACCGGUGCCAGCCGCCGCGGUAAUACCGGCAGCCCAAGUGAUGGCCGAUCUUAUUGGGCCUAAAGCGUCCGUAGCUGGCCGCGCAAGUCCAUCGGGAAAUCCACCUGCUCAACAGGUGGGCGCCCGGUAGAAACUGCGUGGCUUGGGACCGGAAGGCGCGACGGGUACGUCCGGUGUAGGAGUGAAAUCCCGUAAUCCUGGACGGACCGCCGAUGGCGAAAGCACGUCGCGAGAACGGAUCCGACAGUGAGGGACGAAAGCCAGGGUCUCGAACCGGAUUAGAUACCCGGGUAGUCCUGGCCGUAAACAAUGUCUGCUAGGUGUUGCUCCACUACGAGUUGGUGCUGUGCGUAGGGAAGCGCUAAGAGACC
rnacentral:rRNA from 1 species